rnacentral:rRNA from 1 species
CGCGUAGGCGGACUUUCAAGUCGGAUGUGAAAUCUCUGGGCUCAACUCAGAGCGUGCAUCCGAUACUGUUGGUCUUGAGUAUAUCAGAGGAAAGUGGAAUUCCAGGUGUAGCGGUGAAAUGCGUAGAUAUCUGGAAGAACACCAGUAGCGAAGGCGGCUUUCUGGGGUAAUACUGACGCUGAAGCGCGAAGGCUAGGGGAGCAAACA